GACGAACGCUGGCGGCGUGCUUAACACAUGCAAGUCGAGCGGUAAGGCCCUUUCGGGGUACACGAGCGGCGAACGGGUGAGUAACACGUGGUGACCUGCCCUCAGCUCUGGGAUAAGACCUGGGAAACCGGGUCUAAUACCGGAUAUGACUCCAUGUACGCAUGUUGUGGGGUGAAAGCCUUGUGCGGCUGAGGAUGGGCCCGCGG
rnacentral:rRNA from 1 species